rnacentral:tRNA from 9 species
GGCUGGGUAGCAAAGCGGUUAUGCAGGGGCCUGCAAAGCCUUUUAGACCGGUUCGACUCCGGUCCCAGCCUCCA